AACAGGGAAAGGUGGACACAGACUCACAGAGAGGAGAAUACCUUGUGAAGACACAGACACAGAGGCAAGACGGCCAUUUGAAGGCAGAGGCAGAGACUGAGUGAUGUACCUACAAGCGAGGAAUGCCAAGGAUUGCCAGCAACCCCCGGGAGCUGGAGAGACAAGGAAGGACCCUUCCCUGGAGCCUUCAGAGAGAGCAUGACGCUGUCAACACCUCGAUUUAAGACUUCCAGCCUCCGGAAUGGUGAGAGAAUAGAUUUCUGUUGUUUGAAGCCAUCCAGUUGGUGGUAAUUUGUUACAGCGGCCCUAGGAAACUAACACAGUCGCUCUGCGGAGACACUGUAUUCAGUGGACGUUAUUUCCUGCCUUCAGCUAAAUCUUCCUGGUUCUUGGAAAUUUUAGCAUGAAUGAGAUUAAGAGAAAAGACUUUAGAGUUCUGAAAAAUGUGCUGCAGCUGAUACCUUGUCAGGGUAUUAGGCAAGAAAGCAGAUUACGGAGGACAAUAGAAAAUGCAUCCAUCGCUCUCGGACUCAGAAAUUUCUUUCAGCAGCAGUGGCCGCAGCAAGAGCUGCUUUUCCUGCUACUCACAGGUGUCAGAAUAACACUGUAGGGAGGCUCUUUCACACUCAGAGUGCUCAUCAGUACAAACCCAGUGGAAAGCCAGCACCACCCAGUGCGUUACAGUGUGCCCAGGGGCCAGCCACGUCUGCCCCUCCCACUUUAGGCCCCGUGCCCUGGACUGCAGGGCAUAUGCAUGGACAUGGUGCUGAUGCCCUCCACCAUGGCAGCCUAGCUGAUCACCAGCACCUUGCGGUCUCUCUGAUUCACUUAUUUGCUUGCCACACAGCCAUGGAGUACUACAGAGUGGUGACAAGACAUUUGGAAUAAGAUCUGCUUCUGAAAGGGAGGUGGAGUGGCCAAAUGAAAGGCAGGUGUUCUGGGGAUAGAGAAAUCCAGAGAUGGGGAAGGAGACGGACUCGAUUAUAGUGUAUGAUCAGAUCAAGUCAGGGAUGAACAGCCAAGCACUUCUUAUUUUUCAAGAAUCUCAUCAAGCUUAUGGUCUGGGCUGAUAAAUUUUACCAGAAUGGAAGAAGCAUGCCCAUCCAGAAAGCCAGCUGUCUCUUUCUGGGCUCUGCUAAGGUCUUUGGGUUCCAGAUUACAAAGACCUUUUCUCUUUGAAUUCCAUGGCAGAAGCCAGGGCGAGGGCCCGAGGGAGGAGCCAGGGUGGCCUUGCACGGAGUGCUGCUGCCUUUCUGGGUCAAGGUGGUGGCCUGACUCAUCCAUCUACUUUGCCUAAUUCCUUUGGGAUCCUUGAGCCCAAAAGUCCCAUCUGGUUUCAGUAUCAAGCUCAAAGCUGAGGAUCUCAUGACAGCCUCUAUGUUAGAGAAUGAGGCGCAGUCUCAUCGGUCUGGAGUAUGGCUGCUCUUGAUCUGGAAACUAGUGGACUAGAAAGGAACUUGAAAGUGGGACUCCACAAGCAACUGACAGAAAGACAGCCUCACCCUCAUCAACCACCAUUCUUGCUCCUCAUCUCACUGGUUCUUCAGAAGAGGGGACUCGAGCAUUGGGAAGGGAGUUGGACUGCUGGCCCCACGCUUCUUCCCAAGUCUGUUUAAUCAACUAUUCUACUUAUUCUUUCAUUUGUUCAGGAAGCAUCCAUUGGUCUGUGAUUUGUAAGCACUUCAUGAUAUUUCAUGAAAUCUCUACAUUCCAUCCAUUUGGCUUGCUGGAAGUUCAGUGACCCUGAGUCUGGAGGCAGGGGGUUAUUAUCACCUACAUUUUACAGAUGUGGAAACUCAGGCUCAAAAAGGUGGCGUAACUUGCCCACAGUCUCAGCUGUAAAGUGGGAAACCGGGAAUCUAGUUAAGUCUGUCUGAAUCCAGAGCUCCUGCAUUUUCCUCCUGGAGCAGGGUAUCGCUCCUUCUCCCAUCCACAGGCUUGGGGUUGGUUUGGGGUCGGUUGUAUGGUGGUGGUGGUGGUGGCCAUAUGGCACAGGGAGGAAGAACACCAUGCUUCUCAGGUAAUACGGAGGAUAGUGCAAUAUGCAGACGUAGACACAAGGGGGCAGAGAGCCACAGGGCACACAGCUCCCCUGGCCGGGGCUGGGUAUGGUUCUUGUUUCUUGCUUCCUAUACUUUUUUUUUUAAAUUAAGAAAAGGAUGUGUACAACUAUUAAAUAUAUACCUGAACUAUAAAUGUUUCAUAAUAUGCUGCAAGAAAUAGUGGAGGAAUUGAAGAACGUAAAACAAAUGUGGAGAGGAAAGAAUGAGAGCAGUGACGUCUCAACACGGUACAAGGCAAAGAGUCACUUAAAAUUUCUUUUUUCUUUUUUUAUGAGUAUGGUGAUUUAGAUGAAACAUUGCAACAAUUUCUUACUCAAUGGUAUUUUAAUUCCUACCUUUUCUUUUUUUUUGGAAAAAAAUUAGACCUCUUUAAAUUAUUUUUACUGGAGGGAAAAAUAUCUUUAAUUAUGGAACAGGAAGGGAAUAUAAUCUCAUUUUAUAGGAAAGAAGUCUGCAUGGAUGGUGUUUUAUUUUAGUCUUUCAGUAUUUUAGAAUGUUAGUACUCAGACUUGAAGUCAUGUUGUGUUUCUACAACUGUAGGCAGAAAUAGGCUCAUCUCUUGAUAUUGCCCGCAGAGUGAAUGGAGUUAAGGCAAGAGCCGGAUCUGGUGUAGCUGGUCCAGGGAGCCCCCUUGGGGCCCUCACUUUACAUGAUGUGAAGUUCAGUAUGUCCACGGCCUACAGGAGAAAAUAAUUUUGGCUUUUUUUGAAGGAGUCUGGAACAUGCUUUCAAAAACGAAGACUCUCCCACUUAAACCACAUGGAAAUCUGAAGCAUUCUAUUUUGUGUGCUGUGAUUAUUGGUCACUGAAGCUUCAUUAGUGAAAAGAAACACCCAGCAGAGCAGGAGCCAAGCGUUUGGUCUAGUGAGAAAUGAGGGCCUGAAGCUGUCAGCUGCAGAAUGGAAGGGGGGCCCGUGGCAGGGCAGUACCUUCCUGCCCUGUAACUCAGAACCAGCAAAGGGGGUCAAUGUUUUGCUUGUUUAGUCCCUUAUUAAACUGGACUUCAUCUCCAUAUUGAUCGCCUUCCGUGCAGGUGAAUGGAUAUGUUAGGAGUGUAUUGUUCUGAUCAGUCCUGGUUGUCUAGCGAUAUAUCCACUGAUACGGAUAAGGCCAUCCCUCAUAACCCUUGUUGGAGCCAUGCUCCUCUGCAUCAUGCAGACACAUUUCCUUGGCAAAGAAGACCAGUGUUUGAUGUUCAGAAAUGAGAGAACCCAAGGAGCCUCAGCUCUUUGUGGAACACACUGGGGAGAAGUUAUGAGUAAUAAAGUGGGUGACAUGAGGGCUGAAGUUUAAGAACUCCUGUGGCAGUUUGGUUGGGCUCAGUUGGAGGGUGUGGGAGGAAUGUGAUGGGGCUGAACCCAAAUUAUGGAGGAAACUUCAUCAUGCCAGACCAAGGAGGAAGUGAGGGAUCCAUUGGGUGGCUUUAAGCAGGGAAUAAUAUGACCACACUGGAGGUGGAAAGUCUGGCGGUGGGGAGAUCAAUUCAGACCCUCUUGCAACAGUCCAGGAGCGGUGGUACCCUGGAUCAAGGGACUAGAGGAGAGAAGGGGAUGGACAAGAGUGCUCAGGGAGGUGGACUUGAUGACCACUAGCUAAUGGGAUUUGAUGAGGUGAUGCAUGUGAAGUGUUUAGCACAGUAUCAGGCCCACAGGAAGUUACUGAUAAACAGCAGCUGCCAUUGUAUGGGCGGACAGGAGAGGGAGCCGUUACAGAGGAGGGGAGCCUUGAACAUUCUACAGUGCAACCCGACCCAGGAGUGAUGGAAUCAGUUACUCCGAGACUAAGAGGAUCACAGGAGUGAAUGAAGCCCACCACUGCCUCACAGCAGAUCCUAAUUCCUGAGAGGACCUCCUUUCCCCUCACACCCCGCAAAGACAGCUGCAGAUUCCUCAGAAAAAUCUUCCCACUGUCCAUGGGCUUCUAUCCUUUUUCCUUUCUCCCCAUCAGAGCAGCUUGCCGGGCGGGGUUCAGUCCUGCAGUGGACAAUCCAAUCUGAACAUGGACGUCUACAGCUUAACGGGUUACCCACCGGCCCAGCUGUUGGCCAUGCUCACAGGGUAACUAGGAAG
rnacentral:lncRNA from 1 species